AUUAAACGCUGGCGGCAGGCCUAACACAUGCAAGUCGAGCGGUAACAGGGAGCUUGCUGCUGGAUUGAGCGGCGGAGGGGGGAGUAAUGCCUAGGAAUCUGCGUGGGAGUGGGGGAUAGGGUCCGGAACUGGGCGCGAAUACCACAAACGCCCUGAGGGAGAAAGUGGGGGAUCGUGGGCUUUCACGCUCUCAGCUGAGCCUAGGUCGGAUUGGCUAGUUGGUGGGGUAAAGGCUUACCAAGGCGACGAUCCGUAGCUGGUCUGAGAGGAUGAACAGGCACACUGGAACUGAGACACGGUCCAGACUCCUACGGGAGGCAGCAGUGGGGAAUAUUGGACAAUGGGCGAAAGCCUGAUCCAGCCAUGCCGCGUGUAUGAAGAAGGCCUUCGGGUUGUAAAGUACUUUUAGUUGGGAGGAAGGGAAUCAAGUUAAUACCUUGCUUCUUUGACGUUACCCGCAGAAUAAGCACCGGCUAACUUCGUG
rnacentral:rRNA from 1 species